CACACACGAGUUGUGGCGAAAUUAUUCUCUGGGAGGUGAGGGGAGCAGUGAGCAGCAGCGGUGGCCGCGCCCGGAAAUCAUUUAUUGGUGAUUUGACCCCCAAUUUCAACCCUUGAUGCCGAGUGCCAAGCAGGGAGGUAAUGGCUCCCAUUUUUAUAGUCUUUGGUAUGACUCGGCCGGGGUUUGAACUCACAACCUACUUGAGUGGAAGUCUGGUGGAGUAAUCUACAGUCAAACAGUAACAAGCAAUUACACCUCUAUUCAACUUAAAUAUCAAACAUCAAAUAUAUUUACCACAGUAAUGUCAUCGAAACUUACCUGACUGGAUGAAGUCCUUGGGCUCAAAAUUGAAAAAAAAAAGUUUUGAAAAAAUAAACAUUUCUUCUUGUCUUAUACAGAGGGUGUGUGAAUGAUAGGUGAAAUUCUAAAAAACAAGAAAAAAAACAAUUUGUUGUCUUAUAUAGGUUUGUGAAUGAUAGGUGAAAUUCUAAAAAACAAAAAAAAAAAAAACAUUUGUUGUCUUAUAUUGGUUUGUGAAUGAUAGGCACAUUUCUAAAAAAAAAUACAAAAAAUAAACAUCUGUUCUUGUCUUAUACAGAAGGUUUGUGAAUGAUAGGCGAAAUUCUAAAAAAAAAAAAAAAAACAUUUGUUCUUGUCUUAUACAGAGGGUUUGGGAGUGAUAGGUGAAAUUCUAAAAAACAAAAAAAAUGUGUUCUCAUCUUUGUGAAUGAUAGGCGAAAUUCUAAAAAAAAAAAAAAAAAACGUGUUGUCUUAUAUAGAGGGCUUCAGAAUGAUAGGCGGAAUUCUAAAAAAAUAAAAUGUGUUUUCGUCUGUGUGAAUGAUAGGCGAAAUUCUAAAAAAAAACAAAAAACAUUGUUAUUGUCUUAUGUAGCUUUGUGAAUGAUAGGCAAAAUUCUAAAAAGAUACAAAAAAUAAACAUUUGUUCUUGUCUUGUAUACAGGGUUUGUGAAUGAUAGGUGAAAUUCGAAAAAACAAGAAAAAAAACAAUUUGUUGUCUUAUAUAGAAGGUUUGUGAAUGAUAGGUGAAAUUCUAAAGAACAAAAACAAAAAAAAACAUUUGUUGUCUUAUAUAGGUUUGUGAAUGAUAGGCACAUUUCUAAAAAAAAAUACAAAAAAUAAACAUCUGUUCUUGUCUUAUACAGAAGGUUUGUGAAUGAUAGGUGAAAUUAUUAAAAAAAAAACAAAAAAAAAAAA